GACGAACGCUGGCGGCGUGCUUAACACAUGCAAGUCGAACGAAAAGUCCCUGCUUGCAGGCUCCUCGAGUCGCAAACGGGUGAAUACCGCGUGUGGGUUCUGCCCUACACUUCGGGAUAAGCCUUAGAAACUGGGUCUAAUACCGGAUAAGAGCCAUAUUUCCUUUGGUUGUUGGCACGUUUAUUCGGUGUGGGAUGAGCUCGCGGCCUAUCCGCGUCUUCGAGGUGUAAUGGCCUAACAAGGCGGCGCCGGCUAGCCGGCCUGGGAGGGUGGACGGCCACAUUGGGACUGAGAUAAGGCCCAGACCCAGACGGGAGGCAGCAGGGGGGGAUAGGGAACAAUGGGCGCAAGCCUGAUGCAGAGACGCCGCGUGGGGGAUGGCGGCCGACGGGUUGUAAACUCCUUUCGCUAUGGACGAAGCUUAUGAGACGGUAACUGGAAAAGUAGGCUCGGCUAAAUACGUG
rnacentral:rRNA from 1 species